rnacentral:rRNA from 1 species
ACGCUAGCUACAGGCUUAACACAUGCAAGUCGAGGGGCAGCAUGGAAGAAGCUUGCUUCUUCUGAUGGCGACCGGCGCACGGGUGCGUAACGCGUAUCAAACCUGCCUCAUACUCGGGGAUAGCCUUGCGAAAGUAAGAUUAAUACCCGAUGUUGUUAUGUUGCCGCAUGGUGAUAUAACCAAAGAUUUAUCGGUAUGAGAUGGUGAUGCGUCCGAUUAGGUAGUAGGCGGGGUAACGGCCCACCUAGCCUUCGAUCGGUAGGGGUUCUGAGAGGAAGGUCCCCCACACUGGAACUGAGACACGGUCCAGACUCCUACGGGAGGCAGCAGUGAGGAAUAUUGGUCAAUGGACGGAAGUCUGAACCAGCCAAGUAGCGUGCAGGAUGACGGCCCUCCGGGUUGUAAACUGCUUUUAGUUGGGAAUAAAAAAGAGGACGUGUCCUCUAUUGUAUGUACCUUCAGAAAAAGGACCGGCUAAUUCCGUGCCAGCAGCCGCGGUAAUACGGAAGGUCCAGGCGUUAUCCGGAUUUAUUGGGUUUAAAGGGAGCGUAGGCGGAUUAUUAAGUCAGUGGUGAAAGACGGUGGCUCAACCAUCGUUAGCCAUUGAAACUGGUAGUCUUGAGUGCAGACAGGGAUGCUGGAACUCGUGGUGUAGCGGUGAAAUGCUUAGAUAUCACGAUGAACUCCGAUCGCGAAGGCAGGUGUCCGGGCUGCAACUGACGCCGAGGCUCGAAAGUGUGGGUAUCAAACAGGAUUAGAUACCCUGGUAGUCCACACAGUAAACGAUGUAUACUCGCGGUUUGCGAUACAAUGUAAGCCGCCAAGCGAAAGCAUUAAGUAUACCACCUGGGGAGUACGCCGGCAACGGUGAAACUCAAAGGAAUUGACGGGGGCCCGCACAAGCGGAGGAACAUGUGGUUU